rnacentral:misc_RNA from 1 species
GACCCUCUAUUGCAGGUAGUGCCUCUUCAUCUGCUACUUCUGAAUAGGAUGAUGAAGGCUCCUCAAGAACUGGUGGAAGGUAUGGAGAGUAUGAUGAGCCUGGCUCAUCUAGCUGUGAUGUGUAUGCAGAGCUUUUAUUAGCCCAAUUAACUGAAGGCUCUCUAUCAUUUUGAUGUCUUUCCAUGUCAGAAUCAUCCAUCUCAUUGCUGCUGAUGAGAUCACUAAAAGUAACUUGCUUACUAGAUGUUUCUUCACUUUUAGGCUUGGAAUGCGUAUAACCCUGGCUUACUGCAAGUUGUGCUGGUAUAACUUGCACUGUAGUGUUCCUGCUUGUAAGAGGUGAAUACCUCCCCAAGUCAUCAGUCUCUGGAUUUCUUUCUGCAUCACGGUGUAGACCACUCUGAGGAUUGCUCAAGGGAUCCCAGUCUGUUGUAGUCCGAGGAUCUGACGAAAGAGGAGCCUUUUCACUGGAAUAGGCUUGUUGAGGUACGAGUUCAAGACCUUCUUUAAUCCCAGCAGACUGAGGAGGUGAAUGAGCAAAAUUUGACAGGUUCAUAUCUGACCGCCAAGGUGCCAUUUGGUACUGAGACUCCUUCAACUUGGCCUCAGUAACAAAAAGCUUCUCUUGUAAAUGUCUAAACAAAACCUUGACAUUGCUGACAAUUGACUGUGCAUCAGCUACAGGUGUCUGAAGUGAGUACUCUGCAAGAAGUGGCAGCAAAGAUGAUACAAAUGUUGAUCUUUCUUGCUGU